CCUACGGGUGGCAGCAGUAGGGAAUAUUGCUCAAUGGGGGAAACCCUGAAGCAGCACCGCCGCGUGGAGGAUGAAGGUUUUCGGAUUGUAAGCUCCUUUUGUUAGAGAAGAUACUGACGGUAUCUAACGAAUUAGCACCGGCUAACUUCGUGCCAGCAGCCGCUGUAAUACGGAGGGUGCCAGCGUUACUCGGAAUCACUGGGCGUAAAGAGCGCGUAGGCGGGAUAGCAAGUCAGAUGUGAAAUCCUCUGGCUUAACCAUAGAACUGCAUUUGAAACUGUUAGUCUAGAGUAUGGGAGAGGUAGGUGGAAUUCUUGGUGUAGGGGUAAAAUGCGUAGAGAUCAAGAGGAAUACUCAUUGCGAAGGCGACCUGCUAGAACAUAACUGACGCUGAUGCGCGAAAGCGUGGGGAGCAAACAGGAGUAGAUACCCGAGUAGUC
rnacentral:rRNA from 1 species